ACUGUUUGGGGAAAAGAAAUAAAAAAUUAGACAGCCGCAACACACGCCACUAAAGCCACCACCGCCGGCAUAACGCGGAAUCAACGGUUGGCAACAUUCAUUCGCGCGUCAUUGCUUCGUCCGCUUCGUCUCCGCAACGAGAGCCGCCAUCUUCUCGCGCCUAACGUUUUGUAUGGUUUUGUUCUCUGCGAUCCGCGCACACAGCUCAUCGGUGGCUGCACGUCUGCUCGGCGUCGCAAUGCAACCUGCGUCAUUUUCUGGUGCUCGCGCAAUCGGUGUGAAACAUGUCGCAUGUGAAAUGUUUGAUAGAAGUGCCUCACGUCCAAGUCAAGCCGCCGUACGGGUGUAUGGCUGUGCGCCCCGUUCUCGGAAGCGUCGACGGGUUUCCGGCAUGCGGAUUUCAGCGUUUGGACUCGACUUUUGGUGAGGAUGUCGAUCGACCUUGGGCCUGGUGACAGCACACCCGACAUCGCCAAAGUGCAGCCUAUCAGUAGAGUGCCCCCGAAUGGACCAUCAACAUCGGAAAAUGAAGCAGAGCCAGGGGGAAAAGGUUCCGGUAACACCAUGCAUUCAGUAUGGUGGCCCAGAUGUGCAUGCAAGCAACCUCCUUCAUGUGGACCAAGAACUACUCUGCAGUGUCUCGCAGACUUCCAUGCGAAGCCCUCAACAUUCUCGUCUCAGUGGAAUGGCUGCUCAUCUAUCUGCGUGUCCAUCACCAAGACGGCCAGUUGUAAAGCUCCUGUACCCGUUUAAGAAAGCUUAAUGAUUGUUUUA